GGACCCGACUUUGAGACCGGUCAAACCCUAGAUCGACCUCUCUCUUUGUCCCUCGCUCUUUCAACCCUGAAAAUUUUCUCCGUCAAGGAGCCAUGGCGAAGAACAGAAACAAGAAUAAGAGAAGCGGCGUGGCGCCGAUGGACACCACCGAGCCCACUCUCACAGAUAUCCCACAAUGGAUGGACACGUCAGAUUCGGUUGCUACGACAGCCAUGCAUUUCCCAGCUUCUGGUGCUCCCAUUAAGAGAAAUAAAGAUCAGGUAGAGGGCAAACCAAGGAGAAGAAGAAACCAUCAAAACCAAAGAAGACCCAUACCCCAAGGCAACUGUCAGUAAGGCCCAUCCUAUUUUGGUCAAUCGUUUUGCUGGGAUGAUCAAUACGGGCAGCCGAUGGAGGAUGGGCGAUAGCAGAAUCUGCAAAACCCCAAUUACUAGGCUCAUGAAGACCAUAAAAUGGAACGUCUUGGAGAUAAGGCUGUUGGUUUUGUUUGCAGUAGCAGUUAUUGGAGGGUUUAGAAUCCCUCCAAUGGAGAUGAGACUUAUGAGUAACCCAGCCUUGAAAACAGCUUUUUGAACUUCAGCCGGAGCCACCUGUUGAGGGGGUGCCUCAGCUUCAAUGUUGGGCUGAUCAAUUGAUGGUUCUUCAACUGUUAUGUUGAGCUGAUCGAUUUGUGGUUCUUCAGCAGCUGCCAUGGCUCUCAACUUGAUUGCCUCCUUUUUUUGGUCCCUUCCCUUUGAUUUGUGGUGUAUUUAAAGGCAGAAUCGGCCCCCAUGUAUCAAUUCACCAUUUCUGACAAUGACCCCCCAUGUAUCAAUUCACCAUUUCUGACAAUGACCCCCCAUGUAUCAAUUCACCAUUUCUGACAAUGAGCCCCCAUGUUUAUGGUUUCCAUGUUUAUUGUUUGAAAUAAUCACAUGCAUUUCAUAUAUAUCUAAA